UCGAUGGUCACAUGCAAAGCCAACAAGCUUCAUGGGUCUUGAUACUAUGGUUGUGAAUUUGGACCCACCCUAAUUUUGUUAUACUUCUUUAAUACUCCUACGUUUUUCUUCUUCUUUUUGAACGAUACAUGAUUUAGAUGUGAAUAUUUCUUGAGGUGCGAAACUUGUAAGAUACAGAUUUUGUUAUGAACCCAACACAGGACCGAGCUGUGGACAAGGAAGUAAUUGGGUCGGGAGUUCAAGAAUUUGGGCCUGAGGAGCAAACGACAGAAGCAGCCCAAUAGGCUUUUGGAAGAUUAUAUGUGGCAGCAUGGUUGAAGCACAUGUGGCAACAGGUAAUAGUACGGUUAUAUUAUGCAGUUCUAGAAGUAGUGGGAUCGUUAUUGUGUAAGGUUGCAGCACGUGCUCUGUCUCAUCUUCAUUAUCUCUGUAAUUUCUCCUCAUCCCUUUUCCUUCUGAUUUCAUAUUUCCCUCAAGUUGUAAUUUUCCUUCCAGUUAAUUCAAUCAAAAUCUUUGUUAGUUUGCAAUUACGAAUUGGGUUUGUUGCAUUGGUGCUUUCAUUGCUAUCUACCGAUGGUGGAUACGAGACUCAAGCAACUCGAGGAGAAUCAAACGAGCAUGGCCUGGGAGAUGUCGGAACUUCGCUCUACAUUUGAUGGUCGGCAUAAAUUGAGUCGGAACUUCGCAGGUUGGAAUAGCCUCAAUGGAAGACAAGAUGCGGGAAGCGAGACUGAGAUGGUUUGGGCAUGUGAUGCGCAGAGAUGAAAAUGCCCCAGUGUGGAGGUGCGAGAGGUUGGCCAGUGAUGGCUUCAGAAGAGGUAGAGAUAGGCCGAAGAAGUAUUGGGGGAAGUGAUUAGACAGGACAUGACGCAUUUCUUGCUUACGGAAGACAUGACCUUAGAUAGGAGGGUAUGGAGGACUCAUAUUAGGGUAGAAGGAUAAUAGGUAGUCGCGCUUAUCCUCCCUUGAGAGUAGCUAUGUUGUUGUAUAGUUUCUUGUCUCUUGAUUUCUGCGAGUAUCUAUUGGUUUAUAAUGACUUAUUUACCUUCAUUGUUUUCAUUUUCAUAGUUAUUUAUAGCAGUUAAUUCUCCUUUUACCAUGACUUUCUUGCUUUGUUAUUCAUUGCUUUCAUAUUGUUUUCGAUACGCUUGAUCAUAUCUAACCUUUUGUCUUGUCUUGUCUUUCUUUCUCUUCUCUCUUGAGCUGAGGGUCUUUCGGAAACAGCCGUCCUACCUUUCAAGGUGGGGGUUAGGUCUGCGUACACUCUACCCUCCCCAGACCCCACAUUGUGAGAUUAUUAUGGGUUUGUUGUUGUUGUAUUCUUAUUUUUUUCCUUUUCUCUUUAUUGCUUCUCUUCUUCCCAGGUCACUGCAAGCUCCCCUUCUACGCCAUUUUCCCCCUCUUUUUUAUUUUUUAUUUUUUUGAAUUCUUUAUAAAGAGAUUUGUUGAUUGACUUGAUAUUAAACGGAAUGAAGAAAGAAUGGAGUACGUUAAAGGUCGAGGGGUAUUUUGGGUGGUUGGAAAGCUUGACGUUCUCCGACACCAUUUUUUCUGGCUAAUGUAGAACAAUUUUUUUCAGCUCAUCUUCAAAAGGAACAAGUUCAACUGAAAAAGAACCAAUAGAUCUGAAGUAUCCAACAACAAUCAUUAAUACCCAACUGAAAUAUCUAGCAAAAUACAUUAACAUUUCCAAUCAAUUAGCAAAGCUUCACUUUGUAGCAAUUGCUGAUAAAAUUCAAGCCCAAAAUUUCAAUUUCAAGAAUCACCAAUCUCUUCUUUUUCUCUUUUGUUGCCUUUUACGAUGGUUUGUUGGUUAUAAUUUAUGAAAGUGGAAGAAAUGGGUUGUUUCAGUUAGAUAAAGGGAUGGUGGGUGGGUUUUAGUGUGUAUGAAAGAUUGUAGUUAUUUAGAUUCUAAUUUAAUUAGGAAUUAAUGUGUAAAAAUAUCAGCAAUGAAAAAAGGAAAAACUUUCAAUAAGAAAAAAAUAUUAAGAUUUAGUAUUUUUUUUUAAGAAAAAAAAUUGGUGGGGAGGUGGCGUGUCACAUGACCUCCAUCUCAGCCAAAAUGUCAGGUCAUGUAGGAUUGUAAUAGAUGGGAAUUCACUACAGUGGACCUCUGUUAAGAAAAAAGGGUAUUUUUAGCAACUAUAUUAACGUCAAGGAUAUUUUUGAUCGCAUAGUAUAAUGGGGGCAAAUGUGAACUAUUUCGCAAAGUAGAGGGGGGAAAUCAGGCCCUUUUCCCUUCUGGAAAAAGUUUACACCCAGAGGGAACUUUACAAAAAUAACCAGGCGACUAAAAAUAUUUGCGGCCAUCCAGGUUUAUUCCUUUACAGUUAGACGUAAGUAUCAUAUAUAUAUAUAUAUAUAUAUAAAAGCAGUACAAAGGCUCGUGGCACUUUAAAACCUUCUUUUAAAGAGAAUUCCAGCAGUCGCUUCUUCUAAUCCAGAAAAUAAAGGACCGAAAUAAGACUGCAACAAUUAGGACUUCACACCUUCCUCUCCUUGGUAAGCAGCACCACACCGGAGGCCGAAAGUCACCGUUGAUUCUUGCUUUAACCGCAUGUUCACUGACAAAAACUUCGAUUCACAUCAUCAAAAGGGCCGACUGAUAAAAGAGCCAUACCCAUAUUGAAGAAGAAGAAGAAGAAGAAACAGUGGGACCCCUGAGGAAGAAAUUGAGGCGCCUCUGAUGAGGAGUUGGAAAGUGAUGAUUCAUUGGCAAGUACAGAGGAUUCUGAUACUGAUGAUUAAAUGGAUGAGGUUUGCUCAGAAGAGGAAGACACUUUCGUGCAGCUACACAAUGAAAAAGAUCCAACUUUUGUUACGCUAUGAGAUUUGAAUUUAUGGUGUUUAAUGACCAUUUACCGGGUUUUCGGUUUCAACGGCACCCAACGCAGUGAAGAACCAACAAACUAGAGGAAAUCUUCAAGUUUUCAAUUAUCCUGACAGGUAAAAUUUAUAUUUGAUUAAUAAAACUAUGAGACAUAUGAAUUCCGAUUAGUUUCUUAUUAUUUUUUUUUUUUGUGAGAUUGUUUGUUCUUUAUUUUUUUGUCAUUUGUGUUUGUUUAGGGUAUCAAUAGUUUAUCCUUCUAUUGGGGGGGCAUAUCUUAUUUCUUCUUCUGCUUGACAAGUGCUGAAGAGGGUGCUAUUAAUUCCCCAUAUUUAUUUCUUCAACUUUGUCCGCUGGAAAUUGGAAUCAUUCUUGCAGUUCAUUUUCAUGAAUGGUAUAGUCCUAUUAUGCCUCGAACAAGAAUUUGCAACUUUAGUCUCUGUCUUCAAUUUAUUUUUUGAGGUUCUUGAAAUAAGAGCAACAUAUUUGAUUAACGACAUGAAAUCGAAGCUUCUCAUGCAUUCCUUUACGAUCGAUUUUAACCUCUCGCUUUGAAACCGUUUACUAUAUAUCUUCCUCAUAUUUCGCCACGUUAUUGUUUGAUUUUCAUGUUGACUUAUUAAUAUUAUGAAUUUUGUUAUCUGUGUAAAUGUAUUGUUUGAAGAAUAUAUUGUUUUAAUAGGCUGAAUAAGUUAUAUAGAAUGACAAGCAUCUACUUCAUUCUGUUGGAAAAUCUUCAACUGGAAAGGUAAGCUACAUAAGAUUUAUAUCUUAUGAGCAUGUGUCUUACUCCUCAGUGCAAUAAUAUAUACAUAGCCAUUCAAAUUUUGACUUAUGUGAACUUGAAUUUUUUCUAUCGAAACAAAAGGAAAACAAACCCCAGAUAGGCAAACCAGUUGAAAAAAAUUGAUGUCAUUAAGAUUUGAUUCAUUGCAGCAACCUUUAUCAACUCUACGAGAAAACUAACAUGUAUAUAGAUACCACAAGAAGCAGCAAGAGCCUUUUUGCUUUCCCGGCUUGCUGUAAUUUCAUUUUCAUUUCAGUUUUCUUCUUGCUGGACCUUCUUCUUAUUCCUAUUAUUUAAUAGUUGAAUGUUGUAUAUUUUCAAGUACUCAAGAAAAUACUUAGGAAAACUAUUUAACUUUUUCCUUCAUUUUUUUUUUCUCUGAUGGAAUCACCCUCCAUGCCCCCUUGCCAGGCAUCAGGGUCUUAGUUAUGAAAUUAAUAUAACUACAUAAGAAAUAAGAAUAUUAGCCACAACAUAAAUAUAAUGUUAAUUGGGACUUGGGACUUGGGAGGAACACAGAAAACUAACCCGUGAUAUUUUCAUAAGGUGACGUUAAUAAAGAUGGAGUUUUGGGUCACAGGGAGUUUGUAGCCAUUUUAGUCCACCUAAGAAAGAUGACAUAUAAGGAGCACCUGCAGAAGGCGUUCGAAUUUUUCGAUAAGAACCAAAAUGACUAUAUAGAGAUUGAGGAGUUAAGGGAGGCCUUACAUGAUGAGAUUGAGAACAGCAGCGAAGAAGUUAUCAAUGCUAUUAUGCAAGAUGUAGACACUGCAAAGGUCAGUAAUAUACUUUUAUACUAAACCAAGAUACUAUGGUCGUUUCUAAGACUAGACAAGGGCGAGGCUAUGAACUGGAAUAGAAGAAGACUAAGGUAUCGUUAAAAUCCUAUACUUUACCUUUUUAUGUUUGAGGUUAAUGGACACACAAAAUUACUCAUGCUUGGCUGCCUUUGAGAUUUUUUGAUUUUCUUUUAUGUAUGGUCGGGUCAUGGAGUCUUGGGUUUAAUUUUAUCCAUAAUAUAUAUAUUAAAAAACUAAAAAGUUACUUAAUUCCUUCUCUUCCUCUUAAUUUGUGUAUCGUUAUAUCAUGUAUAACGGAUUUCAUGUUUCUCUUUUCAAAACUUAAUGACCUCUGUAAUCUUUUUACUUCUUUUACAUGUUCGAAAUUUUCAUAACCCAAAUUCGAAAAUGAUCCAUUUUUCAGAAGAACUAUUUUUGCUGAUAAGUAUUUGUCACUUCAACCGUAGUUUCAUGAUUGAUAAUGCCUGUUAUUUAUACACCCUCCACGUUAUGGUAAGUAAUAUUUGUCUUUGAAUUAUUUUUAUUCAGUCAAUAGUAUGUCACCGCGAACUCGAAAUAGUUGAGGUCAAUUGCAUAAUCAAAAUGAACAGGCGCAUUUGAAUCUGUGACUCACAACUCUGUAAAAUUAAACAUAAAUUCAUGUUGAUUAGCCCCAUUCUCUUUGAUUAUUUAUGUUGUGAUAAUGUUCAGAUUGAUGGUGGAAGCGAACAUGGAAUUCUCUGGAACCAGUUCAAAUACUUACACAUCCGAACUUUUAAAUCAAACAAGUUUUACAUAUCCUGUGAUGUUCGGUAGUUUAUGGACGGUGAGCUCAAUUGGUUGAACGUUUUUGUUUAAUUGUUAUUGAUUCUUGCAGUUUCUAUUCUUUUAAACCAGCAGUUUGUCAUUACUUAUAACCAAGUGUUCUGCUGUUCCUUCUUCCCAUUUGUCAUCAUCAUGUUUUCCUGUUAGUAGUUUUAGAAUACCAAACUUUUUGUAGUUGCUCACUUUUUCCCUUCACGUUUAUUUACUUCUUGCAAAGGAAAGAUUUUCCAUUAGAGGGCAUAAGGUACAUUAAGAUUCUCUUUAUGAAUUCAUAACUUAUUCAUUUCUUCAAUAUAUAUUUUCAACAUUAUCCAAGGCUUUGUUACUUGCCCUUCUUGUGGCUUGAUAGUACAAUUUGGGUGUUAGCCAUGAGACUCACUUUUCAAUUUUAUGUCCAAAAAAGUGAUGAUGGAUUUUCCUAGAAGCCCCCCUAAAAAGUACUACUGAUUUGUAAGCUUACAUAUUUAUCUAUUUUUGCACGGAUUUGCAGUUUUACAUUUAUCGGUUCUUGUAUUUGAUGUGCACCUCUUGUAUAUGUGGUGCUUCGAUUAUGAAUUUAUUUGAAUGAGUCUUUAGAUUAAAUUUAAACUUCUUGCUAUUGUUAAACAGUCACUUGAGUCAAGUCAUUAUGCAAGUUCAAAAAAGUAUAAUGGCUCGAUGACAACUCUAGAAUUCACUGGGACGAAUCAAAUUAGCCUUUUAGCCGAGGUUUUUGCAGGGCUAUCAGCUACACAGUGCAACAUAUCUGAAGCUAAAUUGCUGAAUCACUAUGGUCGAAUUGUCUCCUUAAUUUAUGUAAAGAAAAACAAUUCGAGGGGUCCCAUUGAGGGCUCUGAUCAAAAGAUUGACAGAAUUGAAGCCCAUUUUAGGUGUGUUCAAGGGGGAUAAUGAUUGUUAAAGUUGAUAAAACAUUAGUAUUUAUGGUUGUCACACAAACAGAAAGAAGACUUCACCAAAUGAAGCUUGCGGAUCGUGAUUAUGGAAGGAAGCCAGUGGUUAGGAUUAGCAAUGAUACCACGAUUGUAUCAGUUUUUAACUGUUUGGAAAAGGGCUACUCGGUCAUAAAUAUUCGAUGAAAAGCUCAAACUAAGAUUCUAUUUGAUGUCGUUUGCACGUUAACAAACAGUUCUACUACUUCAGGAUACAACAAAGUACUUAAUGUGGGGUAGCACACUCUUCUACAAACUGGUACACUAUUGCAGCAGUUCAUUAUGGUGGUUGAAGAAAAAAGUUUUCACUAUAUCGGGAAUGUAAGGGGAAAAAAUCUUGGGGCUGAUCUUUUUCCUGGAUUGAUGGAUGUCCAAGGUCAUUCUAAUUGUUCAAUGGUAGGAAAAUUCUAUUAUCUACCUUCGUGACACACUGGAAAUUUUGAUUUAUGGGUACAAAAUUGUCAAGAUGUAAUGAUAAUUUGUAGGUUGUCUGGAAAUUCAGACUUCUUUCACUUGAGAUUGCAUUCAUUAAUUACUUUAUCUUCCUUUUUUUUCCUUCCUAUUUUCAUAAGUGUAACUUCCUUAUUGAACCAGUUGACGAUUUUUUGGAAAGAAUUAUGUUAGAAUACAUCACUAUUGUUUAGCA